GAUGAACGCUGGCGGCGUGCCUAACACAUGCAAGUCGAGCGAUUCUCUUCGGAGAAGAGCGGCGGACGGGUGAGUAACGCGUGAGUAACCUGCCCUGUACACACGGAUAACAUACCGAAAGGUAUGCUAAUACGGGAUAAUAUGCUUUAGUCGCAUGGCUGAAGUAUCAAAGCUCCGGCGGUACAGGAUGGACCCGCGUCUGAUUAGCUAGUUGGUAAGGUAACGGCUUACCAAGGCGACGAUCGGUAGCCGACCUGAGAGGGUGAUCGGCCACAUUGGAACUGAGACACGGUCCAAACUCCUACGGGAGGCAGCAGUGGGGAAUAUUGCACAAUGGGCGAAAGCCUGAUGCAGCAACGCCGCGUGAGCGAUGAAGGCCUUCGGGUCGUAAAGCUCUGUCCUCAAGGAAGAUAAUGACGGUACUUGAGGAGGAAGCCCCGGCUAACUACGUGCCAGCAGCCGCAGUAA
rnacentral:rRNA from 1 species